rnacentral:rRNA from 1 species
UACGAGGGGGGCAAGCGUUGUUCGGAAUUAUUGGGCGUAAAGGGCGCGUAGGCGGUGCGGUAAGUCUGAUGUGAAAUCUCCGGGCUCAACUCGGAGUCUGCAUCAGAAACUGCCGUGCUUGAGUGUGGGAGAGGUGAGUGGAAUUCCUGGUGUAGCGGUGAAAUGCGCAGAUAUCAGGAGGAACACCGGUGGCGAAGGCGGGUCUCUGGGCCGUAACUGACGCUGAGGAGCGAAAGCGUGGGGAGCGAACAGG